UGAGUAAUGGGGGGACGCAGUAGGAUAGGGUGAGCGCACUGUUGGUUAUGUGCGUCUAAGCAGUGAGGUGUGGAAUGAGGCAAAUCCCGUUCCUAAAACAUUGAGCUGUGAUGGCGAGGAGACUUAUCUCCGGAGUCCCUGAUUUCACGCUGCCAAGAAAAGCCUCUAGCGAGGCGGGAGGUGCCCGUACCGCAAACCGACACAGGUAGGCGAGGAGAGAAUCCUAAGGUGAUCGAGAGAACUCUCGUUAAGGAACUCGGCAAAAUGACCCCGUAACUUCGGGAGAAGGGGUGCUCUGGUAGGGUGUUAAAGCCCGAGAGAGCCGCAGUGAAUAGGCCCAGGCGACUGUUUAGCAAAAACACAGGUCUCUGCAAAACCGUAAGGUGAAGUAUAGGGGCUGACGCCUGCCCGGUGCUGGAAGGUUAAGAGGAGAGGUCAGCGCAAGCGAAGCUUUGAAUUGAAGCCCCAGUAAACGGCGGCCGUAACUAUAACGGUCCUAAGGUAGCGAAAUUCCUUGUCGGGUAAGUUCCGACCCGCACGAAAGGCGUAACGAUCUGGGCACUGUCUCAACGAGAGACUCGGUGAAAUUAUAAUACCUGUGAAGAUGCAGGUUACCCGCGACAGGACGGAAAGACCCCGUGGAGCUUUACUGUAACCUGAUAUUGAAUUCCGGUGCAGCCUGUACAGGAUAGGUAGGAGCCUAAGAUUCCGGAGCGCCAGCUUCGGAGAGGCGUUGGUGGGAUACUACCCUGGCUGUAUUGGACUUCUAACCCAUGCCCCUUAUCGGGGCAGGAGACAGUGUCAGGCGGACAGUUUGACUGGGGCGGUCGCCUCCUAAAGAGUAACGGAGGCGCCCAAAGGUUCCCUCAGAAUGGUUGGACAUCAUUCGUAGAGUGCAAAGGCAUAAGGGAGCUUGACUGCGAGACCUACAAGUCGAGCAGGGUCGAAAGACGGGCUUAGUGAUCCGGUGGUUCCGCAUGGAAGGGCCAUCGCUCAACGGAUAAAAGCUACCCCGGGGAUAACAGGCUUAUCUCCCCCAAGAGUCCACAUCGACGGGGAGGUUUGGCACCUCGAUGUCGGCUCAUCGCAUCCUGGGGCUGUAGUCGGUCCCAAGGGUUGGGCUGUUCGCCCAUUAAAGCGGUACGCGAGCUGGGUUCAGAACGUCGUGAGACAGUUCGGUCCCUAUCCGUCGCGGGCGCAGGAAAUUUGAGAGGAGCUGUCCUUAGUACGAGAGGACCGGGAUGGACACACCGCUGGUGUACCAGUUGUCUUGCCAAAGGCAUCGCUGGGUAGCUAUGUGUGGACGGGAUAAAUGCUGAAAGCAUCUAAGCAUGAAGCCCCCCUCGAGAUGAGAUUUCCCAUUACGCAAGUAAGUAAGUUCCCUCAAAGAAGAUGAGGUUGAUAGGUCUGGGGUGGAAGCGCGGCGACGUGUGGAGCUGACAGAUACUAAUCGAACGAGGACUUAACCUA
rnacentral:rRNA from 1 species